UACGGGGGGAGCAAGCGUUGUUCGGAUUUACUGGGCGUAAAGGGCGCGUAGGCGGCCACCGCAAGUCGACUGUGAAAUCUCCGGGCUUAACUCGGAAAGGUCAGCCGAUACUGCGGGGCUAGAGUGCAGAAGGGGCAACUGGAAUUCUCGGUGUAGCGGUGAAAUGCGUAGAUAUCGAGAGGAACACCUGCGGCGAAGGCGGGUUGCUGGGCUGACACUGACGCUGAGAGACGAAAGCUAGGGGAGCGAAUGGG
rnacentral:rRNA from 1 species